rnacentral:rRNA from 1 species
CAGUCGCCACGGUAAUACGAAGGGUGCAAGCGUUAAUCGGAAUUACUGGGCGUAAAGCGUGCGUAGGCGGUUUGUUAAGUCUGUUGUGAAAUCCCCGGGCUCAACCUGGGAAUGGCAAUGGAUACUGGCAAGCUAGAGUGUGUCAGAGGAUGUUGGAAUUCCCGGUGUAGCGGUGAAAUGCGUAGAGAUCGGGAGGAACAUCAGUGGCGAAGGCGGCCAUCUGGGACAACACUGACGCUGAGGCACGAAAGCGUGGGGAGCAAACAGGAUUAGAUACCCCAGUAGUCCCUGUCUCUUAUAC